rnacentral:rRNA from 1 species
UACGAAGGGGGCUAGCGUUGCUCGGAAUCACUGGGCGUAAAGGGUGCGUAGGCGGGUUAUUAAGUCAGAGGUGAAAUCCUGGAGCUCAACUCCAGAACUGCCUUUGAUACUGAUAGUCUUGAGUAUGGGAGAGGUGAGUGGAACUGCGAGUGUAGAGGUGAAAUUCGUAGAUAUUCGCAAGAACACCAGUGGCGAAGGCGGCUCACUGGCCCAUUACUGACGCUGAGGCACGAAAGCGUGGGGGGCGAACAGG